rnacentral:rRNA from 1 species
CCUUACCUGGCCUUGACAUACUAAGAACUUUCCAGAGAUGGAUUGGUGCCUUCGGGAACUUAGAUACAGGUGCUGCAUGGCUGUCGUCAGCUCGUGUCGUGAGAUGUUGGGUUAAGUCCCGCAACGAGCGCAACCCUUUUCCUAUUUGCCAGCGGGUUAAGCCGGGAACUUUAAGGAUACUGCCAGUGACAAACUGGAGGAAGGCGGGGACGACGUCAAGUCAUCAUGGCCCUUACGGCCAGGGCUACACACGUGCUACAAUGGUCGGUACAAAGGGUUGCUACCUCGCGAGAGGAUGCUAAUCUCAAAAAGCCGAUCGUAGUCCGGAUCGCAGUCUGCAACUCGACUGCGUGAAGUCGGAAUCGCUAGUAAUCGCGGAUCAGAAUGCCGCGGUGAAUACGUUCCCGGGCCUUGUACACACCGCCCGUCACACCAUGGGAGUUUGUUGCACCAGAAGUAGGUAGUCUAACCGCAAGGAGGACGCUUACCACGGUGUGGCCGAUGACUGGGGUGAAGUCGUAACAAGGUAAGCGUAGAUGA